GAGUGGUAUAAUGAUAUUCGAGGAAGAAGAGGACUUAUGGGAAGAAGAGGAAGACUGGGACGAGGAAGAAGAGGACUUAUGGGAAGAAGAGGAAGAAGAGUGGUAAAAAUAGAAGGAAAUAGUUUUUUUA
rnacentral:sRNA from 2 species